CCUACGGGGGGCAGCAGUGAGGAAUAUUGGUCAAUGGCCGGAAGGCUGAACCAGCCAAGCCGCGUGAAGGACGAAGGUGCCAAGCAUUGUAAACUUCUUUUGUCAAGGGACAAAAUCAGGCUCGAGAGCCUGACCGAGGGUACUUGAAGAAAAAGCAUCGGCUAACUCCAUGCCAGCAGCCGCGGUAAUACGGAGGAUGCGAGCGUUAUCCGGAUUUAUUGGGUUUAAAGGGUGCGUAGGCGGAUUUUUAAGUCAGCGGUAAAAUGUCCGGGCUCAACCCGGGCCGGCCGUUGAAACUGGGGAUCUUGAGUGUGCGAGAAGUAUGCGGAAUGCGUGGUGUAGCGGUGAAAUGCAUAGAUAUCACGAAGAACUCCGAUUGCGAAGGCAGCUUACUAAACUGCCACUGACAUUGAUGCUCGAAAGUGUGGGUAUCAAACAGGAUUAGAUACCCCUGUAGUC
rnacentral:rRNA from 1 species